rnacentral:rRNA from 1 species
UACGUAGGGUGCGAGCGUUAAUCGGAAUUACUGGGCGUAAAGCGUGCGCAGGCGGUUUUGUAAGCCAGAUGUGAAAGCCCCGGGCUUAGCCUGGGAAUGGCAUUUGGGACUGCAAGGCUGGAGUGUGGCAGAGGAGACUGGAAUUCCUGGUGUAGCAGUGAAAUGCGUAGAUAUCAGGAGGAAUACCGAUGGCGAAGGCAGGUCUCUGGGCUGACACUGACGCUCAUGCACGAAAGCGUGGGGAGCAAACAGG